rnacentral:rRNA from 1 species
GACGUAGGGUCCAAGCGUUGUCCGGAUUUACUGGGCGUAAAGAGCGCGUAGGCGGCUCGAUAAGUGUGAAGUGAAAUCUCUAGGGCUCAACCCAGAAACUGCUUUACAUACUGUCGGGCUGGAGUGAUGAAGAGGUUUGUGGAGUUCCUGGUGUAGCGGUGAAAUGCGUUGAUAUCAGGAGGAACACCCAUGGCGAAGGCAGCAAACUGGUCAUCAACUGACGCUGAGGCGCGAAAGCGUGGGUAGCAAACAGG